rnacentral:rRNA from 1 species
AGCGGCGGACGGGUGAGUAACGCGUAGGCAACCUGCCCCAUACACAGGGAUAGCCUCGGGAAACCGGGAUUAAAACCUGAUAACGCGAGUGAUUCACAUGGAUUACUCGCCAAAGAUUUAUCGGUAUGGGAUGGGCCUGCGUCUGAUUAGCUAGUUGGUGGGGUAACGGCCUACCAAGGCGACGAUCAGUAGCCGACCUGAGAGGGUAAUCGGCCACAUUGGAACUGAGACACGGUCCAAACUCCUACGGGAGGCAGCAGUGGGGAAUAUUGCACAAUGGGCGAAAGCCUGAUGCAGCAACGCCGCGUGAGCGAUGAAGGCCUUUGGGUCAUAAAGCUCUGUCCUUGGGGAAGAAAAAAAUGACGGUACCCUUGGAGGAAGCCCCGGCUAACUACGUGCCAGCAGCCGCGGUAAUACGUAGGGGGCAAGCGUUAUCCGGAAUUAUUGGGCGUAAA